rnacentral:rRNA from 2 species
UAGGGAAUCUUCGGCAAUGGGGGCAACCCUGACCGAGCAACGCCGCGUGAGUGAAGAAGGUUUUCGGAUCGUAAAGCUCUGUUGUAAGUCAAGAACGGGUGUGAGAGUGGAAAGUUCACACUGUGACGGUAGCUUACCAGAAAGGGACGGCUAACUACGUGCCAGCAGCCGCGGUAAUACGUAGGUCCCGAGCGUUGUCCGGAUUUAUUGGGCGUAAAGCGAGCGCAGGCGGUUUGAUAAGUCUGAAGUUAAAGGCUGUGGCUCAACCAUAGUUCGCUUUGGAAACUGUCAAACUUGAGUGCAGAAGGGGAGAGUGGAAUUCCAUGUGUAGCGGUGAAAUGCGUAGAUGUAUGGAGGAACACCGGUGGCGAAAGCGGCUCUCUGGUCUGUAACUGACGCUGAGGCUCGAAAGCGUGGGGAGCGAACAGG